AAAGAGGAGAGAGUUAUCGACAGGAACCAGAAAGGAUAGAGAAACAGAUGGUGAGGAAGAGGAAGAGGAGAAAGAAUUGAAAAACAGAUGAUGAUAGUAAAUGCUCUAAAGCGAAAAUUGGGCAAAAUCCAGUAAACCAAAUCAGUUCUAAAAAUAAACAACAUUCGGCCGGUGGGAAUAAUCAGUGCGAAUAAACAAAUAAAAAAGAAAAUCAUGAGGAAGAAAAUAAAAAUCCGAGAUGAAAAAAAGAAAAGAACAACUUACCGAAAC
rnacentral:lncRNA from 1 species